rnacentral:rRNA from 1 species
GACGAGCAUCACAAACGUUAUUCGGAAUUACUGGGCUUAAAGGGUGCGUAGGCGGUCGCGCAAGUCGGAUGUGAAAUCUUGGGGCUCAACCCUGAAACUGCAUUCGAUACUGCGUGGCUCGAGUACUGGAGAGGAGACUGGAAUUUACGGUGUAGCAGUGAAAUGCGUAGAUAUCGUAAGGAAGACCAGUGGCGAAGGCGAGUCUCUGGACAGUUACUGACGCUGAGGCACGAAGGCCAGGGGAGCAAACGGG